GGAGGGUUGGUUUGGAUAAACUUCUCUUGUGAGAAUAUUUUAUAAGAUUUUUGUCAAAUUUAUAAGAAAAUUUUCAAAUCUUCCAUGAGAAAAGGCAAAUAUUGCCUACUGAAUUUGAAUUCCAUGAUGAUACUCAUUCUCAUUCUCGUUCUUUGCCUUUAGCCAUAGCUUCAGAGUAUUAUUUUCCUUUUCAUUAUAAGGUGUCUGGAAAUGAAGUAUGGAAAAGAAACAAUGAGGGAAGAUCCAGUUUUCAGGUCAGGAGAACAUUUAUUAAUAUCUGAAUAUAAUUUAAACAGUUAAGGUUGGUAGCAGUACAUUUAACAUCAAUUUAUUAAGUUAGAUUUGCUAUCCAAUUUUUAGCCAGGCACAUUAGACAUUGUUAUUCUGGGGGAAAAACCCAAAACAGCAUUGGAUUGAGUGCAGGGAUACACAGUUUUGAAGUGAUGGUCUUACUGUUUGGGGCAAGUUGAGUUUUUGUUCUGUGCAUCUCUCUUAGCAGUGAUUAAGCACCAAAGCUUAUUUUUUCUCCUGCUUACACCAAGUUCAGUCCCCAAGGAGAAGGCACAAUAGUGAGCUGGUGUGUUCAGUAUGUGUGUGGAGUGUUUUGAAAAGGGAAGAGAAGCCAAUUCUGGUGAUCAUUUAUGAUGUAAUGUGAGGACGAUCUGGAUGGCAGCAGACUGAAAUACUGAUAAGUCUGUAUCUGAGGGAAUUUAGAGAGCUAGUUGACAGAUGGGAUAAAAGGUUUUAAAGACAGCAAAGAAAAUAUUUCAAGGGAUGUGGCUACCUACAAGGGGAAUCUUGUAGGUAGUAAAUUAAUCAUUUUUUUAAAGCAGAGAAUAAUAAUUUAAGUGUAGAGGCUUACAUUCUCUUGAUAGUUCUUGUACAGCUAGAAUCACAUUGUUAUGUUAUUUUAUUUUCUCUGUCGGAUCUCCUCAAGAAGUAGGGAAAUCAUCCAAAUCCAGAAGAGCCAGAAGAAGAUGAAGAUGUUCGAGCUGAAAGAGUGAACACAGCAAGUGCACUCACUACCCUGAACCUGAAUGAGCUGAAAACAAGUAACUUGAACCCUAAACCAAUCAUAAUGGCAAGCUGCUUACAUAAGGAAUAUAAAGGGAAAAAAAGAAAGUUGCUUUACAACAAGAAAGAAGAAAAUAGCCACUAGAAAUGUUUCCUUCCAUGUUAACAAAGGUUUGGACAAUGUUCCCUUUAUCAGGAUGUUCCUUAUUUAUUUAGGUUUGGGACUGUGAAAAGGAGAAAAUUUUCCAUUCUUUGAGAUUGUUCAUCUAUCUUGGUUACCAUGUAAUUAUAAAAAUACUUGACAUGUUGACAGAAAAACGUUUUCUGUUUCAAAACCAUGUCCCAGUUCAAAUGGUAAGAAACCCAGUCUUGGAUCAGGGAGACCAGCUCAUUCUACUGUAAAUCCAAAGUCUUUCCAUUCACAUUGAAAUAUAGAAGAUUGCAAAUGGGUUGUUUGAAAAUAUUAUUUUAUUUCAAAAUGUUACUAAACUAAGUGAUUUUAGUUAGUCAGACUUUGAAGUACAAACAUCAAUGGUGACUCUUUCUUUCAGGUGAAGUUUUGGACACAAAGUUUUGCUGGGACACAAUGGAGCUGGUAAAAGUAAUUCUAUUAAAGUGGUAACAGGAGACACAAAGCCAACUGAAGGAGUGGUAUGUGAAAGAACCAAGCUUGUUGCCAGGGGAAAUUUCAUUUUAAAUAUCAAUAGCAUCCUUAUAUUUUUCUAUCAGUAAAUCAAAUGAUUUAAGAAAAUGAAUAAAUAAAUGAGAGGUUUUAUGAAAUAUCUCUGCAUGCUCAAAAAAUAGUGAUGCUUAAUGGCCACUUUUUUUUUUUUUUUUGAGCAUGUAACUUGGGAGGGGCAGGGGGAGUGGGAGAGAAAGAAUCCUAAGCAGCCUCCACACCCAGCACAAAGUCCCAUGUAGGGCUCAAUCUCACAACUCUGAGAUCAUGACCUGAGCUGAAGUCAAGAGUUGGAGGCUUAAUUGACUGAGCCACCCAGGUGCCCUUA
ensembl:lncRNA